rnacentral:tRNA from 1 species
GCAGAUGUGGCGGAACUGGCAGACGCACAGGACUUAAAAUCCUGCGAGACUUAACUCUCGUGCCGGUUCGAUUCCGGCCAUCUGCACCA